rfam:Chloroflexi bacterium RBG_16_51_9 RBG_16_scaffold_12068, whole genome shotgun sequence.
GGAGGGGUGUCCGAGUGGCCUAAGGAGACGGUCUUGAAAACCGUUGUCGCCGCAAGACGACCGCAGGUUCGAAUCCUGUCCCCUNNN